GGUUCAGAAACUGUUGUCAUGUCUAACUUUUGGUGAUUGGUUUGUACAAACUUAUGUCUUGUUUAUGGAUAUGUAUAAUUUGAAUGUAAGAAGAGUUCCUGUUGGUGUUGGUGGGUGGAACAUGGAGGAACACAGAGUUCUUGCAAACUCACUUUUUCUUGCCUCUUUGGUGUCUUUUAAGCCAACCCAUGACUGGCUGUGCCAGUACAGUGUGGUUACCAGACUGAGAAGAUAUUUGCAGGAACUAGGAGACAGAGGGUAUAAGGAGAAAGCAAACAAUGGGCAGUGUUGGAAACUUAAAUUCCAAUUGUGACUGUCACUGUCUUGCGUGUGAUGUUGGAUAAGCCCCAUUUCCUCUCUGGGUCUCAUUUCCCCAUUGAUAAAACAUGGUUAAUAAUAUGGUGCUAUUUCCUUCAGAAAAUUGCUUGGUGGUCAAAAUGAGAUAAAGGAUGCUAAAGAAUUUUGUAAAUUAAAAAGUGAUAAAUAAAUCGAGAACCUUCUUCAUACCUUACUAAGUUCAAGUUGCUACUUAGCAAUGUUUUCCUUUUUCUUAAUGCUGUCUCUCCCAAGGAGUUCUCACAGAGCCCAGCCAGUAGCACACAUUAGUGAUGGUUUCCUGCUCUUCCCCUCUUAGAAUAAUAAAGGGUCUCCCCAUGUAUGAAAGACAAA
rnacentral:lncRNA from 10 species